rnacentral:rRNA from 1 species
UACGUAGGGCGCAAGCGUUGUCCGGAAUUAUUGGGCGUAAAGAGUCUGCUGUGAGCGGUCUGUUGCGUCCGCUGUGAAAACUCGGGGCUUAACCCCGAGCCUGCAGUGGAUACGGGCAGACUAGAGGUAGGUAGGGGAGAAUGGAAUUCCCGGUGUAGCGGUGAAAUGCGCAGAUAUCGGGAGGAACACCGGUGGCGAAGGCGGUUCUCUGGGCAUGUUCUGACGCUGAGGAGCGAAAGUGUGGGGAGCGAACAG